CAGAUGUGAAAGACCCGGGGCGUCAACCUCGGAAUUGCAUUUGAAACUGGCAGACUAGAGUACUGUAGAGGGGGGUAGGAAUUUCAGGUGUAGCGGUGAAAUGCGUAGAGAUCUGAAGGAAUACCGGUGGCGAAGGCGGCCCCCUCGGACAGAUACUGACACUCAGAUGCGAAAGCGUGGGGAGCAAACAGGAUUAGAUACCCCUGGUAG
rnacentral:rRNA from 1 species